UUUUGACCGUGCAAAGGUAGCGCAAUCACUUGUCUUUUAAAUAGAGACCUGUAUGAAUGGCUAAACGAGGGCUUAACUGUCUCCCCUUUCCAGUCAGUGAAAUUGAUCUACCCGUGCAGAAGCGGGUAUAAUAAUACAAGACGAGAAGACCCUUUGGAGCUUAAGGUACAAAACUCAACCACGUUAAGCAACUCAAUAAAAAGUGAAAACUUUGUGGAACAUGAGAUUUUACCUUCGGUUGGGGCGACCACGGAGGAAAAAAGAGCCUCCAGGUGGAACGGGAGAAUUUCCUAAAACUAAGAGAGACAUCUCUAAGCCACAGAACAUCUGACCAAAUAUGAUCCGGCUAAUACAAGCCGAUCAACGAACCAAGUUACCCUAGGGAUAACAGCGCAAUCCUCUCCCAGAGUCCAUAUCGACGAGGGG
rnacentral:rRNA from 1 species